UACGGAGGGUGCAAGCGUUAUCCGGAUUCACUGGGUUUAAAGGGUGCGUAGGUGGGCAGGUAAGUCAGUGGUGAAAUCUCCGGGCUUAACCCGGAAACUGCCGUUGAUACUAUCUGUCUUGAAUAUCCUGGAGGUGAGCGGAAUAUGUCAUGUAGCGGUGAAAUGCUUAGAUAUGACAUAGAACACCAAUUGCGAAGGCAGCUCACUACGGAACUAUUGACACUGAGGCACGAAAGCGUGGGGAUCAAACAGG
rnacentral:rRNA from 1 species